GUGAGGUGGUAUCGCCUAAGUGUUGGGGCCUUAAGAGUCUCGUGUGAAUCCCACGGCGACUUGGCUGAGUGGUGCCUAUUUGUGCUUUCUUCACAGGCACCACGUCGGGUGGUUUCCAUUCAGACAGAGGCCAGUUCAGAACUUCCCAGAUGACGGUCCCCCUCAGGAAGCUGCCAACCAGGACCCCAACAAUAACCUCCAGGGAGGUUUGGACCCUGAAAUGGAAGACCCCAACCGCCUCCCCGUAGGCCGUGAAGUGCUGGACCCUGAGCAUACCAGCCCCUCGUUCAUGAGCACAGCAUGGCUAGUCUUCAAGACUUUCUUUGCCUCUCUUCUUCCGGAAGGCCCACCAGCCCUAGCAAACUGAUGGCCCCUGUGCUCUGUUGCUGGAGGCUUUCACAGCUUGGAC
rnacentral:lncRNA from 1 species